GGACUACCCGGGUUUCUAAUCCUGUUUGCUCCCCUAGCUUUCGCGCCUCAGCGUCAGUUAUGGUCCAGUGCGCCGCUUUCGCCACAGGUGUUCCUCCUGAUAUCUACGCAUUUCACCGCUACACCAGGAAUUCCACGCACCUCUCCCAUACUCCAGCACCACAGUUUCGCCUGCAGACUCCCAGUUGAGCCAGGAGAUUUCACAGGUGACUUGUGGCGCCGCCUACGCGCCCUUUACGCCCAAUAAUUCCGAACAACGCUCGCACCCUCUGUAUUACCGCGGCGGCUGGCAC
rnacentral:rRNA from 1 species